CAGCAGCCGCGGUAAUACAGAGGAUCCAAGCGUUAUCCGGAUUUAUUGGGUUUAAAGGGUGCGUAGGUGGGAUGAUAAGUCAGUGGUGAAAUCCUACAGCUUAACUGUAGAACUGCCAUUGAAACUAUUGUUCUUGAAUACAAAUGAAGUGGGCGGAAUAUGUCAUGUAGCGGUGAAAUGCUUAAAUAUGACAUAGAACACCAAUUGCGAAGGCAGCUCACUAAGUUGUUACUGACACUGAGGCACGAAAGCAUGGGGAGCAAACAGGAUUAGAUACCCUGGUAGUCCAUGCCGUAAACGAUGAUUACUGGAUGUUGGCGAUAUACGCUCAGUGUCCAAGCGAAAGUGUUAAGUAAUCCACCUGGGGAGUACGCUCGCAAGAUUGAAACUCAAAGGAAUUGACGGGGGCCCGCACAAGCGGAGGAACAUGUGGUUCAAUUCGAUGAUACGCGAGGAACCUUACCUAGGCUUAAAUGAUGAGUGACCGAUAGGGAAACUUAUCUUCCCUUCGGGACUCUUUUAAAGGUGCUGCAUGGUUGUCGUCAGCUCGUGCCGUGAGGUGUCGGGUUAAGUUCCAUAACGAGCGCAACCCUUAUCUUUAGUUGCCAGCGGGUAAUGCCGGGGACUCUAAAGAAACUGCCUACGCAAGUAGUGAGGAAGGUGAGGAUGACGUCAAGUCAGCACGGCCCUUAUGUCCAGGGCUACACACGUGCUACAAUGGUCGGUACAGA
rnacentral:rRNA from 1 species